rnacentral:rRNA from 1 species
UCGUCANCGGCGCUGGCUUCGCGUCGGUGKGCGAUGUUCCGCGGAGUCCUCGUGGCUCGCGCGCGGACACGCUACCGUGCGUCGAUGUCCGGCGCUCGUCGUCGUGCACUUCUCCCCAAGUAGAACGUCGCGACCCGCUGGGUGUCGGUCUACGGCCCGGGUGCGGUGACUGUCGCGUCGCCGGUAAAACGGCACGCGACAAACCCUCGGUCGCCCGGCCGGCUGCUCGGCGGUACGCGCAAGGUAUCAGGCCGCACUCUUAGGCGUGCGUCGAGGCCGUCGCAAGCGCGCGCCACGGUACUCGGAGGCACGGACUUUGCGCCGUCCCCGGUCCUGGCCCGCUGUUGGUUAAAGUACGGUUCACCUUCGACAGGGCCUGCGAACGUCUUCCUCUCUCUUGCGAGAGCUGGAAGACCGAUACCGGUCU